GUCUCCCUCCCACACGAAGCACUGGUCCGUCUCCGUCUCCAACACAAUCCGCCGCCGCUUUCUCCUCCCAUCGCCGUCUCACAUCCCGUCGCUUCCGCCGUCGGCCGAUUGAUGAGUGUUUCCCGUUUCUUCGUCCGCCGUCCCUCCCCGCACUCACACACGCGUACACCCAUCUUGCUCGCCUCAGCCCACGAACCCUAGACGCCACGGAGAUGGAGCAUCUCCGCCGCCUCGCCCAGUUCUUGCGCCUCAGCUCGCGGGGAUGGAGCAGGACGGCGCCACCCGUCCUCUCGCACCAUGCCCAGGACGGCGGCGCCGUGGACGGCUGGGCGCACGACGGCACGGAGCCCCCCUCCCUUUACGGCGCCCCGGCAGAGUGCCCCGAGGCCGCAGAUCCUCCUCUUUGUCGGCGCUUCCGCGGCCACGUCUCCGCUGCCGCCUCCGCGUGCGCGACCCUCAACUACGACGCGGUGGGGAGGAGGGCUGCGACGACCUUCACGCCUGCUCCGUCGACCACAACUACUGCGUCCGCAAGAAAGCCGCAUGGAUUGGGGAUAUGUACUUCGGUUUGGGUUUAAAGGGGCAAUCUUUGAGCAUUUGUAUCAACUAUCGAGGAUCUCAAGUUCACAUCGAUCGCACUAUGAUCAAGUGCAUUCCGGUGCUAUGAUGAUUGUGACAGAAGAUGUUAGCUGCAGAAGCAAUCGCUGUCUCAGCUCCAAUAUUAAAAAUCAAUGCACCUGAAUUGUGACACAGUUUUUCUCAUUUGGAACUGCGGUUAUAAGGUGUUUAAUCUGAAAGCUACGCUUUCAUGAAAUCAUCAGGAUUUUGACCUCCAUACGAAAUCUGCAAGGGUAACAACAACAAAGGAAACUGGUGUAAGAUUGAGUACUAAGACUCGAAGAUGAGCUACCAUCAAGAUUAUGUCUCGACAAUCAAGUAUAGUCGUUCAACCUAAUGGACAUCGAGGGAACCACUUUGAGUAGGCAAUUGUUUGUGUGGAAAAUGCAUGGUACUAAAGCUAACCUUCCUCUGGUCUAGAUGAAAUCAAGGCAACUGGGUCUUCUAUCUUCAAACAUCUAUUUGUUAGUUUUUCCUGGCUUCAGUGCAUUCCAUCAUAUUACUGUGUUUAAACAUAAUUGCAAUGUGCUAAUUAUUUUCUAAAAAAUUUACAGUGUAUUAAUUAAGUAAAACUUAUUUGAAGUAGAUGUAGCACGACCUUGGAUUUUGCACACGAACCUCACCAAUUUCGAGUAGUCGUACUUCUACAUAUCUGCUCACCAAAUAUCUGCAUGAUUAUUAUGAACGUGGUAAACUCUGAAGCUAUUUUCUUUAUUAGUCCUAAAAGAAACUAAACUAUUUGUGUGGGACCAGAGAAGCGUACUUUCAAUACAAACUGCAAUUGCUUGGGCAAGAGAAAUCAACUCAAUACUGCAAUUUUCCAUAUGAAGUAGUAAGAGGAGGUGUACAAUUGUAAACUGAUUUAGGCUGAAGGCUAGCUGCAUUUUGGCAUGUGGUCAAACCCGGCAAGCUGCAACUAUGUGGAGCAUCCACACUACUGCCACCACAUGCUUGCUAAAAGGCUUAAUCUAACCGUCCCUGUAGUCCACAUCUUCGGCGAGCAUGUUUGAUGGCAAGCUCGGGCAACUAUUGUUCUGUUGAGUAUCCAGAUGAUAACCAUCAUGAAAAUCACUACAUGGAUCGAUGUUCCCAUCAUGUCUGGUAGUAGAUGAUGCAUUAUUUUGAGCUUGAUAGAGUAUGACUAUAUCCCACGCGGUCUUGUUUGCAUCAAAAGUGUGGCCCACUUUGGAGACACACCAACCAUUUUGGUAGUGGGCAUCUUAACAGUUUUAUUUGGCCUCAUUCCCCUAAUACGCUAGUAAUUGUCUCCUUUCUUGUAUUUCUCUUAGUCUCACUCCCAUACACUUCAUGAUCUGAGAAAGGGAAUGCUAGCAGCCAUGGUGGCAGUGUCCCCUCCCAAGAAAAAAAGUAGGUACAGCUAGUCCUAUAGUCAGCCAUCGCACUGUAAAAAUAGGAUAGGUUCGAUCUAUGGUAAUUGAGGGCCUCCUAAAAGGAUCUACUAAAUUCAUCGAGUUGUUCUAAAGAAUAAAAACGAUCGGUUGUUCAUGCAACUUGAGAGGAUGAAGGAUCUAGCGAUGUUGCGCGAAAGGCAUCGGCGCCAGUGAGUUUGCCACCAUCCUAGCGACGACGACAAUGAGGCAAAGCAUAUAGUGGAGGGCAGAGCAAGACGGCUGAGGGAGAUGGCUCAUUAGAAGAAUUCACAACACGCAAACGACCAAUGUAGUAGAGAAGAGGAUGAGGGGGAAUCACUGGGGACAAGCUAGGUGAGGUAGUCUCAGGAAAUGAAUGAGGCGGGAAAGCCGCAGGUGAUGAUGAGCUUGAUAAAGAAGCGAUUAGAGGUAGAAGACACCUCAAUCCCUAGGAAGUAGCAAAGAGGACCAAGAUCAGACAUAAGAAACCCACUAUGAUGAGCCUUCAUAAAGGCAAUGUACUUAGAGUCAUCGCAGUGAUGAUCGACAUAUAGAAGGAGAAUUUGACCACGAAUUGAAAGGUGGACAAGAAGUGUAGGAUCAUGAGCACUUGCCGAAAACUUGCCGCAAUCACCACUGAGACAAAAUGCUCAAAGUAGGCACGAGGGGUUUGCUUAAGGCCAUAAAAGAGCGAUGAAGACGACAAACCAUGCCAUCAGGAAGAGAAUACCCAGGUGGUGGGUAUAUGUAGACCUCAUGCAGCAGGGAGGAAGAGAAAUGAUAUCCCACAUGCCUAUGUGCGCAAGAGCAACAAUCUCGUCUACAAUCGCAUGCUGCUAUUCAUGAUGAACAAAUGCGUCAUACUAAGAAGUUGUCCCGAGAAAAGCGACGCUAGAAUAACCAAUAACCAUAGGGCCAACAGGCAGAAGCGAGCGAGCUCGGAAACCAUAAGUAGGCCGAGCUUUAGGUAGUGCAUUGCCAACAGGAAAGGCCAUAGUAGUCCAGGGAGAUGGCUCAUUAGAAGGAUCCACAACACGUGGACCACAAGUGUAAUGAAGAAGAUGAAAAGGGGGAAUCAUCGGGGAAACCUCAUGGAUGAGCGAGGUGAGGUAGGCUCAGGUAAUGAACGAGGUGGGGAAGCCGCAUGUGGCGACGUGUGGGGUCUAUAACAGUAGUACAGGAGGAUAAGCUGGGAUAGGUGGGCGAGGGCAAUAAAUGAGUGAUAAGUGUAUCAGGAAAAGUGAGGGAAGAAAUAUCGUCAAUGGGGGAGGCCGAAGGAGAGGAUGGACUCGGAUAGAAAGGACGAGACUCAAUCAAAAGUCACAUAUGAAGAAAUGCCCAUCCGACGACUAACAAGAUCCCAACACCGAUAGCCCUUGUGCUUAUCACUGUAAUCUAAGAAGACACAUUCAACAGACUGAUCAAAUAGUUUGGUGCGUGAAGAACGUAGCAAACACAACCAAACAAAUGAAGUGUUGAGUAGUUAGGAGAGAAUGCUCACAAAGACACUCGAGAGGAAUGUCGCCCUGUAGAGCUGAGGAAGGAUGAAUGUUGAUGAUAUAGGUGGCUAUGGUCAUCAACGCGCUAGCCGCCUCACGAAGGUGACGAUGCUUGCGCUCAACAACCCCAUUCUAAGCAUGAGCACCAGGACAAGAGAACUGAGCAAGUGUGCUUUGCUCAACAAGGAAUCCCCGCAACCAAUGAGAGAUACACACAAGCAUAAUCUGCACGAAAGACAUGGAUAGUAGUGGAAAAUUGGGUAUGAACCAAGGCGGCAAACAUCUUAUAGAUAGAUAAGACCUCACUACAAGAAGGCAUAAAAUAUAUCGACUUGUGUUGAGAGAAAUAAUUGUAAAGAUAAUAUAGUGGCGAUGGCCUCCUUUCGAGGCGAAGAGAGCUGGGUCCCAAAUAUUAGAGUGAACAAGAUUGAAAGGACACCGAGACACAAUCUCGCUAUGAGGAUACGGUAACUAAACGUGUUUACCUAGCAGACAAACUUGUCCUUCUAAAGUUACAUUGCGAGACAGAUCCUAGAAUACCACAUCGUUCUAAGGAUGAGAGAUUAGAGCCACACAUGUGACUGAGACGAUGACGCCACAAAGAGUCGGUAGACAAGGUAAGAGAGUCGAAGAGACUGGCGGAUGUGGUAGCGGAGGGAAGGCGUAGCCUGGCAAGCUUCAGUGGCCGUGUGAGUCACAGCGUCGAGGGCCAACACCAAGUAGAGCAGCCGUGUGCCGAUCCUAAAUUAGAACAAGAGUUAAAGUCAAGAAUAUUGGAGUAAGAGAAAUAUUGUUUGUGUCAGGUUCAAUGAUACAUUUGCUUGGAUUCCAGGACAGAGUUAAAGUUGAGAUUGGGCACUUGGAUUUGUGACAUUUUGACAUGAGCUUGAAACUGGAGAACUUUAGGGUGUAGCAUGAUGAACCUGAGAUAUAUUGAAUUUAUAUAGGUAUACUAUGAUUAGCAUGAAUGCGGUAUUUGUGGACUAUUAGAUCAUCUUGGAUAUUACUAGUUGGAUUCUAGGUUAGAGAUAACUUGAGCAGUUGGAUUUGUGAUAUUUUGACCUAAGCUUAGUAGCUUGCAUGCAGAUGAUACGAUCGUAGUUGGUAGACCGUGAUGAUUUUGCUAACCCUCCCCAAGAAUGUUACCAGUACAAGAUCAUCAUGGGAGGAUGAUUUGGAUUAAUUAGAAUAGAUGACAAUUUCAGUGGUAUGAGCCUUGUUGGAGCAGCUGAUGUUGCUUUUAUUAUGUUUUUGUGCUCCUUUAGAUGCAGUAGUAGAAGGGUAGGACUUAUGAAGUGAUACUAUAUUGGUGGAUAAAUAGAUCUUUAAUAACCUUGAAACUGGAGAACUUUAGGGCAGGACCUAUGAAGUUUGGAUUUACUUACAUGACUGUGAUCUCUUGAAAAAAAUUUGGUGGAUAGAUAACUUCUAAUUUUUUGGAUCUAUAGUCAUCCAGUGGAAGCUUGCUUCAUACUGGACUUAGAUAACCAUGAUAAUAGGCUUGGUUGAAUCAUAGUUAUGAUUUGUACUAGAUGCACACUUUUAGAGAUUGAAACUAGAGAAAUAUAGGGUGUAGUAUGAUCAAUCGGAGAUAUAUUGGAUUUAAUAUGAAUAUAAUAUGAUCAGCAUGAUUCUAAAAAUUGAUGGAGGAAAACAAAGAUAUUGGAGUAAUAGAAAUGUUGUUUGUGUUAGGUUCAAUGAUAUAUCUGCUUGGAUUCUAGUUCUAGGUCGGAUUUAAACUUGAGAUUGGGCACUUGGAUUUGUAAUAUUUUGACACGAGCUUUAAAACUGGAGAACUUCAGGGUGUAGCUUGAUCAACCUGAGAUGUAUUGAAUUUAUAUAGGUAUAGUAUGAUUAGCAUGAAUGCAGUAUUGAUGGACUAUUGUAUGAUCUUGGAUAUUACUAGUUGGAUUUUAGGUUGGAGAUAACAUGAGCACCUGGAUUUGUGAUAUUUUGACCUAAGCUUAGUAGCUUGUAUGCGCCCCAUAUGGAUAUGAGCAUGGAGAGGAUACAAACGGAUUGUAGUUUGCAGACUUUGAUGAUUUUGCUAGCCCUCCCCAAGAAUGUUACGAGUACAAGAUCAUCAUUGGAGGAUGAUUUGGAUUAAUUAGAAUAGAUGAUAAUUUUAGUCGUAUGAGCCUUGUUGGAGCAGCUGAUCUUACUUUUAUUAUGUGUUUGUGCUCCUUUAGAUGCAGUAGGAGGCUAGUAGUUAUGACGUGAUAUUAUAUUGGUGGAUAAGUACAUCUUUAACAACGUUGGAACAAUUUGGAUUUACUUAGAUGAUUGUGAUCUUGAAAACAAAUCUGGUGGGUAAAUAACUUCUAAUAUUUGGAUCUAUAGUAAUCCAGUGGAGGCGAAGGAAGUUGGAGAGGGCCGAUGAGAAAGCACAUGAGAAGCUUUACUCGAUCUCCUGAAGAUCGACAUUGCCGCACGGCUUGGCGCAAAGCCGGUGCGGCUGAUAGGGUUUUCACCCUCUCCCACACCUCAUGUGCAUUGUUCAUUCCCGCCAAUUCGGCUUGGUGUCCUUCCCUUGUUUGCGAGUUCCGUGCCAAUGACUUGAUCUGGCAUCACACGUUCUCCCGCCGUGCGUCCUUGGUCUUGGCGGUAGGUAACGUCGUGCUCUCGGGCUGUGUCUCGUGGGUUAGCCAUUGCGGUGCCGAUUGCCUGUGUGGCUAUGGCGGCGCCCAUCAGGGAAACAUGGGAUGUGGGAUUGAGGCAUCGCACAUAGUAACCCGAAGCCAGGCAAAGGAUGCCGGUCGGACUGGCAGGGAGCGGAUUGCACUUGAGGUAUGGUGGAAGGGUGAAAACAUUGGUGGGAGCGAACUGUCAUUGCCGUUAUUCAUUAUACUUGUAGCCAAGCGUCGAGGGCAUGACAAUUGUGGAAGGUGGGAAGAUGGUUGGAUCAUAGUUAUGAUUACUACUAGAUUCACAUCGUUUGAGAUUGAAACUGGAUAACUUUAGUGUGUAGUAUGAUCUAUCGGGGAUAUAUUGGAUUUAUGUGUAAUAUGAUCCACAUGAUUGUGAAAAUUGAUGGACUACUACAUUAUCUUGGAUUGAACUAGUAGGAAAAAAACAAAGAUAUUGGAGUAAUAGAAAUGUUGUUUGUGUUAGAUUCAAAUGUUUAAUGAUAUAUGUGUUUGGAUUCUAGGUCGGAGUUAAACUUGAGAUAGGGCACUUGGAUUUGUGAUAUUUUGACAGCUUGAAACUGGAGAACUUUAGGGUGUAGCAUGAUCAACCUGAGAUGUAUUGGAUUUAUAUAGGUAUAGUAUGAUUAGCAUGAAUGCGGUGUUGCUGGACUAUUGGAUGAUCUUGGAUAUUACUAGUUGGAUUCUAGGUUGGAGAUAACUUGAGCACUUGGAUUUGUGAUAUUUUGGCCUAAGCUUAGUAGCUUGUAUGUGUUCCAUAUGGAUAUGAGCAUGGAGAUGAUACAAAUGGAUAGUAGUUGGUAGACUUUGAUAAUUUUGCUAGCCCUCCCCAAGAAUGUUACCAGUACAAGAUUAUCAUGGGAUGAUGAUUUGGAGAUGACAAUUUCAGUGGUAUGAGCCUUGUUGGAGCACCUGAUCUUGCUUUUAUUAUGUGUUUGUGCUCCUUUAGAUGCAGUAGUGGGAGGAGAGUAGUACUUAUGAAGUGAUAUUAUAUUGGUGGAUAAAUAGAUCUUUAAUAACCUUGGAAUAAUUUGGAUUUACUUAGUUGAUUGUGAUCUUGAAAGAAAAUCUGAUGGAUAAGUAAAUUCUAGUUUUUUGAUCUAUAGUGAUCAAGUGAAAGCUUGCUUUAUACUGGAUGAUAACCAUGAUAGUGGUUAUAGUUAUGAUUUGUACUAGAUGCACACCUUUAGAGAUUGAACUGGAGAACUUUAGGGUCUAGUAUAUGACCAAUCGGACAUAUAUUGGAUUUAUAUGUGUAUUAUGAUUAGCAGGAUUGUGAAAAUUGAUGGACUAUUACAUCAUCUUGGAUUGAAUUAGUAGGUAAAAAACAAAGAUAUUGGUGUAAUAGAAAUGUUUGUGGAAUGUUCAAUGAUAUAUUUGCUUGGAUUCUAGGUCGGAGUUAAACUUGAGAUCGGGCACUUGGAUGAUGUUUUGACAUGAGCUUGAAGCUAGAGAAUUUUAGGGUGUAGCAUGAUCAACUUGAGAUGUAUUGAAUUUAUAUAGGUAUGGUAUGAUUAGCAUGAAUGCGCUAUUGGUGGACUAUUAGAUCAUCUUUGAUAUUACUAGUUGGAUUCUAGGUUAGAGAUACUUGAGCACUUGGAUUUGUCAUAUUUUGACCUGCUUAGUAGCUUGUAUGUGCCCCAUAUGGAUAUGAGCAUGGAGAUGAUACAAAUAGAUCGUAGUUGGUAAACUUUGAUGAUUUUGCUAGCCCUCCCCAAGAAUGUUACCAGUACAAGAUCAUGGGAGGAUGAUUUGGAUUAAUUAGAAUAUAUGACAAUUUCAGUGUAUGAGCCUUGUUGGAGCAGCUGAUCUUGCUUUUAUUAUGUGUUUGUGGUCCUUUAGAUGCAGUAGUAGGAGGAGGGUAGUACUUAUGAAGUGAUAUUAUAUUGGUGGAUAAAUAGAUCUUUGAUAACUUUGGAACCGUUUGGAUUUACAUAAGAUGAUUGUGAUCUUGAAAAAAAUCUGGUGGAUAAAUAACUUCUAAUUUUUGAAUAUAUAGUCAUCCAGUGGAAGCUUGCUUUAUAUUGGACUUAGAUAACCAUGAUAGUGGGCUUGGUUGGAUCAUAGUUAUGAUUUGUACUAGAUGCACACCUUUAGAGAUUGAAACUAGAGAACUUUAGGGUGUAAUAUGAAUAUGAUCAAUCGGAUAUAUAUUGGAUUUAUAUGAAUAUAAUAUGAUCAAUAUGAUUGUGAAAAUUGAUGGAAGAAAACAAAGAUAUUGGAGUAACAGAAAUGUUGUUUGUGUUAGGUUCAAUGAUGUAUCUGCUUGGAUUCUAGGUCGGAGUUAAACUUGAGAUUGGGCACUAAAUCUGGUGGAUAAAUAACUUCUAAUACUUGGAUCUAUAGUAAUCCAGUGGAGGCUGAGGUAGUUGCAGAGGAGCGAUGAGAAAGCACAUGAGAAGCUUUGCUCGAUCUCCUGAAGAUUGACAUUGCCGCACGGCUUGGCGUAAAGCCGGUGCGGCUGAUAGGGUUUUCACCGUCUCCCACACCUCAUGUGCAUUGUUCAUUCCCGCCAAUUCGGCUUGGUGUCCUUCCCUUGUUUGCGAGUUCCGUGCCAAUGACUUGAUCUGGCAUCACACGUUCUCCUGCCGUGCGUCCUUGGUCUUGGCGGUAGGUAACGUCGUGCUCUCGGGCUGUGUCUCGUGGGUUAGCCAUUGCGGUGCCGACUGCCUGUGUGGCUAUGGCGGCGCCCAGUAGGGAAACACGAGAUGUGGGAUUGAGGCAUCGCACAUAGUAACCCGAAGCUAGGCAAAGGAUGCCGGUCGGACUGGCAGGGAGCGGAUUGCACAUGAGGUAUGGCGAAAGGGAUGAAAACAUUGUUGGGAGUGGACUGUACUUGGAGCCAAGCGUCGAGGGGAUGGCGAUUGGGUAAGGCGGGAAGAUGGUUGGAUCAUAGUUAUAUUACUACUAGAUUCACACCUUUAGAGAUUGAAACUUGCGAACUUUAGGGUGUAGCAUGAUCAACCUGAGAUGUAUUAGAUUUAUAUGUGUAAUAUGAUUGACAUGCAUGCGGUAUUGGUGGACUAUUGGAUGGUCUUGGAUAUUACUAGUUGGAUUGUAGGUUGGAGAUAACUUGAGCACUUGGAUUUGUGAUAUUUUGACCUAAGCUUAGUACCUUGUAUGUGCCCCAUAUGGAUAUGAGCAUGGAGAUGAUGCAAACAGAUCGUAGUUGGUAGACUUUGAUGGUUUUGCUAGCCCUCCCCAAAAAUGUUAUGAGUACAAGAUCAUUGGAGGAUGAUUUGGAUUAAUUAGAAUAGAAUUUCAGUGGUAUGAGCCUUGUUGGAGUAGCUGAUCUUGCCUUUAUUAUUUGUUUGCGCUCCUUUAGAUGCAGUAGUAGGAGGAGGGUAGUACUUAUGAAGUGAUAUUAUAUUGGUGGAUAAAUAGAUCUUUAAUAACCUUGGAAUAGUUUUUAGUUAGGUGAUUGUGAUCUUGAAAAAAUCUCGUAGAUAAAUAAGUUCUAAUUUUUGGAUCUAUAGUCAUCUAGUGGAAGCUUGCUUUAUAUUGGACUUGAAUAACCAUGAUAGUGAACUUGGUUGGAUCAUAGUUAUGAUUUGUACUAGAUGCACACCUUUAGAGAUUGGAACUUGAGACCUUUAGAGGUUGGAUCAUAGUUAGAGAUGCACACCUUUAGAGAUUGGAAAUAUAUUGGAUUUAUAUGAGUAUAAUAUGAAUUGUGAAAAUUGAUGGACUAUUACAUCAUCUUGGAUUGAAAUAGUGGAAAGAAAACAAAGAUAUUGGAGUAAUAGAAAUGUUGUUUGUGUUAGGUUCAGUGAUAUAUCUGCUUGGAUUCUAGGUCGGAGUUAAACUUGAGAUUGGACACUUGGAUUUCUGAUAUUUUCGCAUGAGCUUGAAACUGGAGAACUUUAGGGUGUAGCAUGAUCAACCUGAGAUAUAUUGGAUUUAUAUAGGUAUAGUGUAUGAUUAGCGGACUAUUGGAUCAUCUUGGAUAUUAAGUUGGUUAUAGGUUGGAGAUAACUUGAGCACUUGGAUUUGUGAUAUUUUAACCUAAGCUUAGUAGCUUGUAUGUGCCCCAUAUGGACAUGAGCAUGAAGAUGAUACAAAUGGAUUGUAGUUGGUUGACUUUGAUGAUUUUGCUAUCUCUACCCAAGAAUGUUACGAGUACAAGACCAUCAUGGGAGGAUGAUUUGGAUUAAUUAGAAUAGAUGACAAUUUCAGUGGUAUGAGCCUUGUUGAAGCUGACCUUGCUUUUAUUAUGUGUUUGUGCUUCUUUAGAUACAGUAUUUGGAGGGUAUCACUUAUGAAGUGAUUUUAUAUUGGUGAAUAAAUAGAUUUUUAGUAACCUUGGAACAAUUUGGAUUUACUUGUGUGAUUGUGCACAGCGGUGGAUACUUCUAAGUUUUGGAUCUAUAGUAAUCCAAUGGAAACUUGCUUUGAAUUAGAUAACGAUGAUAGUGGGCUUGGUUGGAUCAUCGAACAUAUAAAGGAUGAGCGGGGUGCUAGGCACAACCGCUGUGUCCACGUAGGCUAUGAAUAGUGCCGGCGAAGCGAGCGUUGCGUUCCGCGCGAGUAGAGAAGUGAGCAAGAGAAAAAGAAAAAGCGAGCGAGCAGCUGUAGCGAGAGACCUAACCCGUCUCCCCCGCAACCCCCGCCUUCUCUCCUGCCGCCGCCGCGCCCCGUUCUUCCCUUCUCCAUGCUCGCCGCUGCCGGCAUAGCGUCCGCCGCUCCCCCGCCUCGAGCCAGACAUCGCCAUGGAGCCUCCGCUCCCCCGCCUCGAGCCAGACAUCGCCAUGGAGCCUCCGCUCCCCCGCCUCGAGCCACCCCGCGCCUCGUCUGCCUCCUCUCCUCCCUCUCCCUCGUCUCCUCUCCCGCACCGCCAGCCCCUUCUCUCUCCUCCCCCGCGCAAGCCAGCCCCGGAUCUGAAGGAAGAGGAGAGAUGCGGGAUUUGGAGGAGGAAGAGGAGAUCCGGGCCUCCCGGCGGUGGCUCGACCGAUGCAAGGUGAUGACAAGUUGCCUCUUCCUGCGCACCUUCUCCCUCGCCGCCGCCACGGCCUCUCCCACCGCUCAUCUCCACCUCCCGCUUUCCCUGUGGCUCACAUCCCUCUCAGUGUCACCACUCCUUGUCUCCUAGGUUCUCGAUCUGGAGCGGGAGGGACAGACGAGGCUACAAGCGCCAGCAUGAUUGUCCACAGCACCGUCGCCGUCGUCCUCGGCAGUGGUAGGGCGGGUCGCCAAGAAAGCCGGCUCCGUCUUGCUCUCGCGCCACUGUCCAUCCACCCGAGAAGCCCGUCCACACACCUGUCAUUCACGCCCCUCCUCCUCGGCUCGUUCUCAUCUCUGUCAGGCAGAUGAGCUCCUGCUUCCUCUCUGUCUCCCUUUGAUUUUGUGCUUGUGCUGUACUGUGUGUUUGUGCAGUUGCUUUGUGAGCUACAGCUACUACUUGUGCUGCUAGUGUGUCCUGGUUCUGGUGCUGCUAGCUGCUGCUGGUUGCUUGUGUUGCUGGUUGCUUCUUUAUUUGGUUAAUUGUGACACUGAAAAGCCUUUGUGAAAAGCAAAAAUUGAUGAGAAGGCUAUGAGCUGAUGAGAUGACCUUCAUUUUCAAUUUUUUAUUUAAUAAUUGAUGAAGGAUAUGUCAUAUAUUCAGUUGUUAACAUUUUCUCUAUGGUGUAUGUACCUAUUGUUCAUUGUAUUCGAGGGAGAGGACAACAAGAGUAAGAGAGCCUUGGGACGCGAAGGCAGUAGCAUGCAGCGCCAGGUCAAGCGCACCGACCUCGACGACCAGAGACCAGUACACUUAACAAGAGUAAGAGAGCCUUGGGACAACACUGGAUGAGGGCGUCGACUAAAGGAGCGCGAAGACGUCUUCCUCCAAAAUCUUGCCAAGGAUUUUGUUGCAACGACACAGUGCUGACAAUUUUUGUUUUUGGAAUUUGUCAAUGAAAUUCUGCUCGAUCAGGGUUCUUAAAUAUUUGUUCACCCAGAUGAACCGCUUAUUUUAUGUGCAUACUGGAUAUUUGUCAUAUAUGUAGAAGGUUCUACAAUAUAUCAAAGAAAAACAAAACAGAGAGGAUGCUGGGGCUCGGGCAAGGGAGGCUGCGCUCAGUGCAGUACUGCGGUCUUUUACUGCCCUUCACUGUUAAUUAAAUAUAUAUCCUCUUCAUAGUUCAUACAGUUUUAGGAUUUUAGCAGUAUGAAAAGUCACAGAUAAUGUGAUGGUGACAUUUGGGCUUAUACAAGUGUUAGUUGUCAGUCUUCUGCCCGCUUGCAUUUGAACGUUGCCUUGGGCACGAUCCUUAAGCUUGUCAAAAGUUGUGGAUCGAUAGGCAUUGACAAAAAAAUAUAAGCUCUGUGUUCUGAAAUACAGGUAGAGCAGCAGCUAUAGCACCCCUAGAGAGAUUGCGUUGAUUGAUUCUCAUCGUAUAUAUAACUCAACUAUUUAAAGUAUUCUAUAUACACUGAAAUCGUGCUCAUAAUUUUUUAAAGUAUUCUAUAUGCACUGAAAUCGAGCUCAUAAUUUUUUUAUCAUGUACCUUUUCUGCUAAAGAUCAUUACACUUCUUCAGUACAUCAAUGUUGCUUCCAAAGCAGAGCCCCUCCUAGAGGACAGUUUCUUUUAUCAGAAGGGUGAGUGUGUUGUAUAUUUUUCUGUCCACUAAAUCAAUACUUCUGGUUACAUAUUGUGACAGAAUUAAGUAGGCAUAGGCUUGUUCGUUGAUUCUUGUACCGAAACUGAAUUGGUAUUGUGUUAAUACAUUAUAGUCAUCCUUGAAGGACAUGUGUUUUAUUGCCAUGCAUGCUUAAUAAUUGCUUGCUGAAGCAUUGGUCCUAAUUUACCACGGGUUUUGCCGGCGUUGCGUUUUCUUUUUGUAUAUGGUUGCUGCAGUGGCCAUUGAAUAGUGAUUCUAUCCAUUAGUAGUAUCUUGUCAUUAUGAAAGUUUGUGUAUUUUUUGUACAUAUGAAGGUUUGUGUAUUUUGUUCUCAGCUGCGUUGCUACAUAUAAAUUUGAGGCAAAUGAUGAUACGGUUCAGACUCACACUUUUCUGAUUUUAUCUUGUCAUUAUGAAGGUUUGUGUAUUUGUUUUUGUGCUGCAUAUAAAUUUGAGGAGAAUGAUUUUAUGGUUCAAAGAGACAGUUUAAUCAUAUUUGAGCUGCCAGCUUGCUUCAGCCAUGUGAUACCGGAGCCCGAGGUUGACAGUGGCCAAAUGACUGAACUUGUUCGCAACAUUAAUAGUAGUACUCUUGAUAAACAUAGCAUUCCUGACCUUUUUGUACCGUUCGCCUGUUUGCAUGUUUAUAACAGGGGAAUUAGUCCAAGUGUUAUUGGUUCACUUGCUACAGGUGGAAUAUAUCUUUGGUGUUAUUGAAUCUUUAACCAAGACAUGGCUGGAAGCUGGAGCACACUAAUCCUGAUCGAAUUUGUCAUCUCACUUUAUAGGUGGAGUAAUUGGUGAGAUUUUUUCGGUCUCUUGUAUUUUACUUUCCAGAAAAUCUGCAUGAUGGUACUCAAAAUUUAUGAAUGGUUUUAUUGGCAUGUCAUGGUGUGGAUCGAGAUGAUGUUCAGUAGACUCCCUCAUCACCUUGCCAGUGCUAUUGAUCGCUCACAGCUUGAAUCUGAAUGUGCUUCUUCCAGUCUAUGCUCCCUCUCUUUGGUUCAUUGGCCUCCCAAGACUACUUUGGUAUGAAAGAGUGAUCUUCAUAACAUACACAGUCAAAUUUGUUUUUCUCACAAGCUGGAUCGUCGCAUAACUUAUUGGUGGUUGCACUAGCUGAGCUUUGUUAUAAGUUCUGGUGCGCAUUGUAUAUCAUAGAUAAAGUGUAUGUAAUCUUCUUGGUGAGUAGGUUUUAGAAUGAUAUAAAUUUUAAAUAAUUGAGCUAGCAUUAUAGUGCUUCAGGUUUUUUCUUUCAAUCAAUUAACUUUUAACUGCUCACUAAUUGGUGCCCAUGCAUGUUCUGUUUUAUUUUUCUCACUUCAUUAAACAUAUAAGUUUCUGGAGUGAUCUUCAUAACAUACAGUCAAAUUUGUUUUUCUCACAAGCUGGAUCAUCGCAUAACUUAUUGGUGGUUGCACUAGCUGAACUUUGUUAUAAGUUCUGGUGCGCAUUGUAUAUCAUAGAUACAGUGUAUGUAAUCUCUUGGUGAGUAGGUUUUAGAAUGAUAUAAAUUUUAAAUAAUUGAAGCUAGCAUUAUAAUGCUUCAGGUUUUUUCUUUCAAUCAAUUAACUUUUAACUGCUCACUAAUUGGUGCCCAUGCAUGUUCUGUUACAAUUGAAGGUAAUUUACAAGAAAUGGUAGAUGUUUUAGUUUUAGGAAAUAUAUCAAAAUAAAAUCUGUGGUCAAUCUAGAUUGUACUAAUAUAUAUGUUUUUAAGAGACUGUUCUGUAUUUAUUUCCUAGCAGGAAUUCCAUACCAUUUCAUGGCCAUUGAAACUUGCCUAUUAACCACGAGAAACCACUUUAGCUCUCUCUGUACGUUGAUCAUUGUAGUGCAGUGUUUGAUAUGUUGCCAAUAGCCUUUCCCUUGGCUCUUCCUCUCUAUUUAGUUAUUCCUCGAAUCAAGUGCAUAGUUAUUUUGCCUAUUGCAGGUUUUGUUAUCGUUAUAAUUACUCACUUUGUUCUAGGAUAUAAAGGCAUAUUAGUUAUUCCUUUAGCAUGCCUAUAAUGUUCUAAACUUUGAAAUCAUAUGGGAUAAAGAUCACGUCUCUUUUUAUUUUGACAUGGCCACCUUUAUCGUUAUACAGUAUUUUUUAUGAAAAACAUUGCAGAUAUUAUUUACAGAUGCAAAUUUGUAUCAGGACUUGAAAAUUUGUAGUCAAUGCAUGUUCUCUUAUAUACUCUGUCAUGGUGUACUUCAUUUUAAGCUUCAGAACUAGGAGAUUGGUUUAGAGGUUAUGUGCCUUUGUUUUGUAGUAAGUUGUAGAUGUCAAUGUCAGUUCUUCUGCUGCAAAGUUGGGGAAAGAAUUGCAGUGCAAUCAAGUUUCGUCCGAGCACACAACAUCAGCGACGUGACGAUGAAGCAAUGACAUUGUCUGGCUAUUCAUACAAUUCUAUAGAAGAUGCAAUGGACGUUGCAGCUGCUCGAGUAAUGAAAUAUAUGGAGACCAUGCGUGCCAAGGUAUUGAAAGACUAUAGUUACAACGAGUUGCAACAAACAAAGGAAAGAGAACUGCAUCUGAUUGGUUUGUUAGGACAAAGAAAAAGAAAUCAAAGAACAGGCUCUGAAGAUUAGAGAACUUAGCAAAGACUUUGCAGACUACUUAUAUCAGGUUAAAAGCACUUCUUCUGAGAUUCACCGCCCAGCUAAAGGAAGUGUAUGCUCAGCCAAUUCCAUAAGUGGUUGCGAGCUCCACAAAGCGGCUAUAGAUAUUCAUAAUGCAAUUGCUCAUCUUGGCCAGUUGAGUGAAAACUCUAUGCAGGUAAUCCAAAACACAUCGGUAUAUCCACUUAGGAGAGGAUCUACUUCCACAGCCUAUGUGCCUUCAGAAGAUGCCGAUACUACCAGCUACAGCAGCCUUCUUUGAAUAUCAAGUGAUUACCUUUGUCUAGAGAAGAUCACUGCCAUAUAUAGUUCAUCUGCCAGUCUUUCCAGAGCUUCUAUCCUGUUGAUGGACUUUGAACUUAAGCUAUCCCCAGCUAUGUAUGUUAGUUGCGGCAAUCGCAUGUAUAUAGAUUAAACCAUCAGCUACGUUCUAUGUUGCGUGGCAAUGCCAGUAGUCUCUCAAUAUAACAUGCAGCAGCUUAUUAUGUAUUUCCUACGAACAUAUGUUCAUUAUUAAUAAACCUACCAUGCAUUGUAAUAUAUAACACUAU